GAACCGUCAGAAUUCAGAAAAAGAAAUCAGUCAGACUCGUCUGAAUUUCUGAAUUAUUCAGAGUUUCAUCCAUUCCACUAUUCGCUAGUGCUAAUCUACGCUGUGAUAGGGAGGAGGAGGAGGAAGGGAUCGAGCAGGUUGGUUAGGUUUUACCAGGAGGGGACGAGGUUGGCGGCGAUGAAGAGGAGGUAGCCGGAGGUGCCGAGCACGAGCGCGCGCCUGGACCCCAUCCGCCGCACCACCGGCGAGCCCACCACCGAGAACGCCGUGAACGACGUGUACAGGAGCCCCAGCGACACCGACCCCAGGUUCUGGGCGGCGUGGUAGGCGAGGAAGACGAAGAGGAAGGCCGAGCUCAGCAGGUGCAGGUCGCGGGUCUGGGACGUCGCCGCCCUCGCCGCCGCCGCGGCGCCGCGUCUGCCGGAUACCAGCGGGGCGGCCUCCUCCUCCUCCUCGUCGAGGGCCACCGCGAGCUCGGCUCCGGCGGGAGCGUGGCCGUCUUCCAUGGCGGAUUUGGGGGGAGGAGUUGGUGGUGGCGUGGCUUCGGUGCCAAACUGCGCGAGCACUCUGCUCUGCUUGUGAUUUGGG